ACGGAGCGGCAGACGGGAGAGUAACACGUGGGAACGUGCCCUUCAGUUCGGAACAACCCAGGGAAACUUGGGCUAAUACCGGAUACGUCCGUAAGGAGAAAGAUUUAUCGCUGAAGGAUCGGCCCGCGUCUGAUUAGCUAGUUGGUGAGGUAACGGCUCACCAAGGCGACGAUCAGUAGCUGGUCUGAGAGGAUGAUCAGCCUCACUGGGACUGAGACACGGCCCAGACUCCUACGGGAGGCAGCAGUGGGGAAUAUUGGACAAUGGGCGCAAGCCUGAUCCAGCCAUGCCGCGUGGGUGAUGAAGGCCCUAGGGUUGUAAAGCCCUUUCGGCGGGGAAGAUAAUGACGGUACCCGCAGAAGAAGCCCCGGCUAACUUCGUGCCAGCAGCCGCGGUAAUACGAAGGGGGCUAGCGUUGCUCGGAAUCACUGGGCGUAAAGCGCACGUAGGCGGCUUUUUAAGUCAGGGGUGAAAUCCCUGGAGCUCAACUCCAGAACUGCCUUUGAUACUGA
rnacentral:rRNA from 1 species